GCAACUUGCGCUCAUUGGUAUUCCAAUGAGCACGCCUGUUUCAGUAUCAAAACAAACCCUCUAUCCAACAUUUUUGUUGAAUAGGAAUAUUGAGAGUCUCUUGAUCUAUUCUGAUCUCGAACCUCUUGAAAUGUACAAAGGCCUGAUCUUGUUUGAA
rnacentral:rRNA from 1 species